UCAGAUUGAACGCUGGCGGCGUGCUUAACACAUGCAUGUCGAACGAGAAAGUUCCUUCGGGAAUGAGUAGAGUGGCGCACGGGUGAGUAACGCGUGGAUAAUCUACCGGGGAGUGAGGAAUAACAGUUGGAAACGACUGCUAAUACCGCAUACGCUGCAUAUUAUGAUUUAUGCAGGAAAGGAGGCCUCUGCAUAUGCUUCCGCUUUUCGAUGAGUCCGCGUCCCAUUAGCUGGUUGGGGGGGUAACGGCCCACCAAGGCGACGAUGGGUAGCUGGUCUGAGAGGAUGAUCAGCCACACUGGGACUGGAACACGGCCCAGACUCCUACGGGAAGCAGCAGUGGGGAAUAUUGCGCAAUGGGCGAAAGCCUGACGCAGCGACGCCGCGUGAGGGAUGAAGGUUCUCGGAUCGUAAACCUCUGUCAGAAGGGAAGAAAUUAUAUCAUGCUAAUCAGUGGUGUAUUGACGGUACCUUCAAAGGAAGCACCGGCUAACUCCGUGCCAGCAGCCGCGGUAAUACGGAGGGUGCGGGCGUUAAUCGGAAUUACUGGGCGUAAAGCGCACGUAGGCUGUAUGACAAGUCAAGGGUGAAAUGCCACGGCUCAACCGUGGAACUGCCUUUGAAACUGUCAAACUGGAGUAUGUGAGAGGGCGGCGGAAUUCCUGGUGUAGGAGUGAAAUCCGUAGAUAUCAGGAGGAACAUCAGUGGCGAAGGCGGCCGCCUGGCACAAAACUGACGCUGAGGUGCGAAAGCGUGGGUAGCAAACAGGAUUAGAUACCCUGGUAGUCCACGCUG
rnacentral:rRNA from 1 species